rnacentral:rRNA from 1 species
UACGAAGGACCCGAGCGUUAUCCGGAUUUAUUGGGUUUAAAGGGUGCGCAGGCGGACUAAUAAGUCAGUGGUGAAAGCCUGAUGCUUAACAUCAGAACUGCCAUUGAUACUGUUAGUCUUGAGUACGGUUGAGGUGGGCGGAAUGUGUCAUGUAGCGGUGAAAUGCUUAGAUAUGACACAGAACACCAAUUGCGAAGGCAGCUCGCUAAACCGUAACUGACGCUGAGGCACGAAAGCGUGGGGAGCAAACAGGAUUAGAAACCCCCGUAGUCC